AAAACAAAUUUUUAUAAAGAGACAUUACUUAAAAAUGAUGUGUCGUUUUGUAUGCUUCUACAAACAUCCUUUCUUGCCCACCAAAAUGUGAAGCGUGUUGGGACAGCGAUUGGGGCACGUCCCUCAAAAAAGUAUCUUUUUUUAAAAUCUGACGUUAAAAGUUUUGUUGCCUUUUAAACGUUUCUUGUUAAGAUUUUCGUGAUGCCAAAUUUAAUGAAUACUCGCCCUAAAAAUUAUGGUGCUGGUUCCCGCCAAUGUCAGGUGUGCUCAAACCAUCACGGGUUGAUUCGCAAGUAUCACCUUAACAUAUGUCGUCAAUGUUUCCGUGAACAAGCUGCUCAUAUUGGUUUUCGAAAGGUUCAUUAAACUGAUUGUAACUAAUGUUUGAAGCUUUUUUCUUAUGCAAUCAGAAAAAUAGAAAACAUUUUUUUUGCAAAUGCUAUACAUUAAUAAGUUCAGAUUGAUGUGCAUCUUUUUAAUGUUAUUUUCUACGUAGUAUUAUCAUACAUUAUCAGAAACAAUAAGCAUAUUUUGAACGGAAGGUAACAAGAA